rnacentral:rRNA from 1 species
GACGAACGCUGGCGGCGUGCCUAAUACAUGCAAGUAGAACGCUGAAGAGAGGAGCUUGCUCUUCUUGGAUGAGUUGCGAACGGGUGAGUAACGCGUAGGUAACCUGCCUGGUAGCGGGGGAUAACUAUUGGAAACGAUAGCUAAUACCGCAUAAAAUGGAUUAUCGCAUGAUAAUCCAUUGAAAGGUGCAAAUGCAUCACUACCAGAUGGACCUGCGUUGUAUUAGCUAGUUGGUGGGGUAACGGCUCACCAAGGCGACGAUACAUAGCCGACCUGAGAGGGUGAUCGGCCAAACUGGGACUGAGACACGGCCCAGACUCCUACGGGAGGCAGCAGUAGGGAAUCUUCGGCAAUGGACGGAAGUCUGACCGAGCAAGGCCGCGUGAGUGAAGAAGGUAUUCGGAUCGUAAAGCUCUGUUGUAAGAGAAGAACGAGUGUGAGAGUGGAAAGUGCACACUGUGACGGUAUCUUACCAGAAAGGGACGGCUAACUACGUG